rnacentral:SRP_RNA from 1 species
UCACACUAACCGGGGAGGUAGCGGUGCCCUGUACCUGCAAUCCGCUAUAGCAGGGGUGAAUGUCUUACUGAGGGCCUUGUAUGUGCAGUCAGCCUUGAAGUAGAAAUGUUGAGAGCUGGGUCUUAAGCAAUUAUGCGUCGUGAACCUUGUCAGGUGGGGAACCAAGCAGCAAUAAGCGAAUUGCAUAAUGUGACUUAAGGGUGCCUUGCUUGAGUUGAAGCUUUAAGAAGCGUGUGUAUACAUUUUUCGAAGUAAGACUGUGUGG